rnacentral:rRNA from 1 species
UACGAAGGGGGCUAGCGUUGUUCGGAAUUACUGGGCGUAAAGGGCGCGCAGGCGGCCCUCCAAGUCAGGCGUGAAAGCCCCGGGCUCAACCCGGGAAUAGCGCUUGAGACUGGGGGGCUUGAGUUCGGGAGAGGAGAGUGGAUUUCCCGGUGUAGCGGUGAAAUGCGCAGAUAUCGGGAAGAACACCCGUGGCGAAGGCGGCACUCUGGGACGGUACUGACGCUGAGACGCGAAAGCGUGGGGAGCGAACAGG